rnacentral:rRNA from 1 species
UACGGAGGAUGCGAGCGUUAUCCAGAUUUAUUGGGUUUAAAGGGUGCGUAGGCGGAUCGUUAAGUCAGUGGUCAAAUUGAGGGGCUCAACCCCUUCCCGCCAUUGAAACUGGCGAUCUUGAGUGGAAGAGAAGUAUGCGGAAUGCGUGGUGUAGCGGUGAAAUGCAUAGAUAUCACGCAGAACCCCGAUUGCGAAGGCAGCAUGCCGGCUUCCUACUGACGCUGAAGCACGAAAGCGUGGGGAUCGAACAGG